rnacentral:misc_RNA from 1 species
ACAAACUUGGUCAUUUAGAGGAAGUAAAAGCCGUAACAAGGUCUCCGUUGGUGAACCAGCGGAGGGAUCAUUACAGAGUUGCAAAACUCCCUAAACCAUCGUGGACGCUACCUUCAAACCUUGCUUCGGCGGGCGGCUCGCUCCCCUGGCGCCCCUGUGGCGCCCGCUGGAGGUACCCAACUCUUGACAAUUUUAGGCCUCUCUGUCUUCUGUACUGAAUAAGUCAAAACUUUCAACAACGGAUCUCUUGGUUCUGGCAUCGAUGAAGAACGCAGC